rnacentral:rRNA from 1 species
CAGCAGCCGCGGGAAUACGGAGGGUGCAAGCGUUAAUCGGAAUUACUGGGCGUAAAGCGCACGCAGGCGGUCUGACAAGUCAGAUGUGAAAUCCCCGGGCUUAACCUGGGAACUGCAUUUGAAACUGUCAGGCUGGAGUCUUGUAGAGGGGGGUGGAAUUCCAGGUGUAGCGGUGAAAUGCGUAGAGAUCUGGAGGAAUACCGGUGGCGAAGGCGGCCCCCUGGACAAAGACUGACGCUCAGGUGCGAAAGCGUGGGGAGCAAACAGGAUUAGAUAUCCCGGUAGUCCCUGUCUCUUAUAC